CCUACGGGAGGCAGCAGUGGGGAAUAUUGGACAAUGGGGGCAACCCUGAUCCAGCCAUGCCGCGUGAGUGAUGACGGCCUUAGGGUUGUAAAGCUCUUUUCUCCGGGACGAUAAUGACGGUACCGGAGGAAUAAGCCCCGGCUAACUUCGUGCCAGCAGCCGCGGUAAUACGAAGGGGGCUAGCGUUGCUCGGAAUCACUGGGCGUAAAGGGCGCGUAGGCGGCUGACUUAGUCGAGGGUGAAAGCCCGUGGCUCAACCACGGAAUGGCCUUCGAUACUGGUUGGCUUGAGACCGGAAGAGGACAGCGGAACUGCGAGUGUAGAGGUGAAAUUCGUAGAUAUUCGCAAGAACACCAGUGGCGAAGGCGGCUGUCUGGUCCGGUUCUGACGCUGAGGCGCGAAAGCGUGGGGAGCAAACAGGAUUAGAUACCCUGGUAGUCCACGCUGUAAACGAUGAAUGCUAGCCGUUGGUCUGCAUGCAGGUCAGUGGCGCCGCUAACGCAUUAAGCAUUCCGCCUGGGGAGUACGGUCGCAAGAUUAAAACUCAAAGGAAUUGACGG
rnacentral:rRNA from 1 species